UUUUGUUCACUUUUUCUUGCUGAGCCUGAGAGAGCACAUGCCUUUUUACAGUGCUUCAACAGUAAACAUCUAAAACGUAUCCGCUGACUCCUGGAUGUUUAUUGUGGACCUGUUAGCUAUCUGCCAAGCUAGAAACCAGCUUCACACCCUAGUGA